AAUACGAAAACCAAAAAACUCAAAUUUCAAAAAAUUUAAUCCAAAAAACUCAAACCAAACACAAUGAUUGCUUUUUAUUUUAAAUUCAGUGUAUUGGGAUGUUUUUCAUUUUUUGAAUUGAACUUUGUCAGUCAUUUUAUGGUAACAAAAAGGGAAAUAUCUCAACAGUUGCUAAAUAUCUCACACUGUUGAGCAUUAUAGUCACUCACCAAACAUAAAUCUUCUGAUUCAUGGAGCCACGGAAGUGGGGGAUUCAUAUCAGCUACCUUAUCAUUGACAACAAUGAGGAUGAAGCCAGGGAGAAUGGGGCCAGGAAUCCUUAUGGAAAUGCUAUUGGGUGUUCUAUGCACUUUGAUUUUCAGCUCCCAUCAGCAAAUAGGAAUGCAGUUUGAUAUUCAAGUGACCUUUUCUUCGUUACCAAUUUGAUGAAUGUGGUAAUUUAUUACUACUUCCUAAGCUACUGGCUAAAGUGGACACAAGGCUUGGUCAUAUUUUAACAUUGUUUUGCCGAAAGGAGGCAUGUCUUCCACCACCAGGCCAUACCUUUGUUCUCAUUAUGAAGCAAAUCUAGCGAAGAAACUUUGAGCUCAGACAUGAAGAAGGUUUAGAGACUAGAACACCGACACAAAUCUGAGGAUGAAGAAGAGAGAAAUGUGAACAUUCCAAAAUCAUCUUCCCUUUCACCAAGCACAAUGCCAUAAUCCCCUGGGCCGCACGCUCAUUUUUUUUCUUCUUCUUUGCGGGGUUGACUGUCGAAAGCAGCUCGAUAGGCGUGUGGCACGUGUACGGCUGAAGUUGACCCUUUCUCCCUCUUAGGAGACAGCCGGCGAGUGUGCCGGACUGGGACCAUGUGUCAACUGCUGCUCUAUUAUUUUCGUUGGGUGACACUACAGCAUGGCCCUUCACAUUUCAUGUCCCUCCCUCCCUCGACUUAACAAUCAACUAAACUAUUUUCUUUUUCUUUGUUUUUUCUUGGUGGUGAUUAAUGGA